GUCGCAUUUUAAACAUUUGCUCUGCUGGUCGAUUGUUCACUCGGCAGGUAAAAAGAAAAAACAAUGUAAAAGUAAUUAGAGCUUCUGAGGACGAUCCCAACACAGUCCAGGUUCAGUGGAUCCAACAGGGCUCUGCUGCGAUGGAUGAAGGUGAUAACAGCGCCUGCUGAAUGACUACGGUGUUAUCGUACAGGAGCCGAGGGAGGCGUUUGAGAGUGGAAGGGAGGCUGUUGAAUUGGGCAGACAUGACUUAUAAAGUUUAUGUUAUGGCCUCAUAAUUGAUAGCGUGGCUCUAUCAGAACGGCCUUUAACCCUCUGAUAAAGCGUGGACCUGUGGACGCAGCACACGGAACCUGAAGACAUUCCACCCCCUCAAGACGCCAGAACCCUGGGUCAGACCUGAGGACCAUCUGUGGUCAGGUCUGAGGACCAUCUGUGGUCAGGUCUGAGGUCCAUCCGUGGUCAGGUCUGAGGACCAUCUGUGGUCAGGUCUGAGGACCGUCCAUGGUCAGGUCUGAGGACCAUGAUCAGGUCUGAGGACCAUCCCUGGUCAGGUCUGAGGACCAUGGUCGACUCACAGCCAUGACCCGAGCAGACGUCCCGACCGAGCCUCUUCUCGUUCUAUUGGCUACUGCUGACCAUGGCCAGGAACAAACACCACAGAACAAGAACAAGCAGACUUCAUUAACAAGUCUCAGUGAUCUAGUUUCAUGAAAUAAUAAUUACAAUCUAAAAAC
ensembl:lncRNA